rnacentral:ncRNA from 1 species
GUGUUGUAUGAAAGGAGAGAAGGUUAGCCCUCCCCUUGAUAAGGAUGGAAGAGGUCCUACUAGCUUUUACAGCGCAUAUACGGUUAAGGCAUUGCCACCUACUCUGUGGCAUCUGACCACAUUUUUUA